AAGUAGGAUAAAUACGAACUUUAAAACACGUGUUUUCUCCAGCGUAUUUGAAUGCACUCUUGCAAAACUCACGGUAAAAUAUGUUAUAUUAUGUUAAAAUAUGUGCCUGUGUAACUGUAUUUUUGUCCGAUUCGUAUAUUGCGUUAGAAGGCGUUACUUGCAGUUUGAAACAUUAAUUUUAAAAUCUAGUUAAAAUGUAAGUUAAGUGAUAUGAGCUUUGUUUAAAAGUUUUAUGUAAACUACGGUUUUGGUUUGUGAUGUUGUUAAUCACUUUAUGACUGUCCAUUGAUUAUUAGUUUAUAUAUCUAGAAUAACAGUUAUACAUUCCAGUUAAUUAAAUAAAACAUGACUAUAUUUAUUUCUGUUUGGGGUGUAUCUUAGUCUUCCCAAGGCAACGCUUUUGCUUUAUUCAUAAACGUAAAAAAGUCAUAAUACAUCAAACUCUCGGGAGUUAGAAAGGCCUAUUAAUGAUAAUAUAAACGAUAAUGUGUAUUUGCAUAAGAUUUUCAUUAACAUUACAUAUGUAUUAAUAUGAAAAGAAUAGUAAAAGGCGUGCUUAAACAAUACUGAGGCAUAUAUUUUAGGUAUAUUUUAGGUUUGCUGUAUACCGGAUUUCAAGAAAAUCUGAAUGCUUACAGGCCAAGAUUGACAUUGGCAUAAAAGACAACAGAAACCUCCAGAAGCAGCUGGAAUGGUCUAAGCAAUGACGCGGCUGUGUGGGUGGAGCCGUUCUACUGUGCCGCGUUUUGAUUGGUCGAAUUCGCUGGCGCUUUCGAGAAACUUCAGCCGCUGAACCCCAGACGGUAUAAAAUACGGCUGAUUCCAACAGUGCGGUUUAUACUGCGGGAGAGAUCGGAGACACUGCGGGAAGAGCGAAACAUCGAAGUGAACUGUCCAAGCGACGAGCUACAGCUACACCUGACAAAAUUCAUACAAGGUAA